AACGAACGCUGGCGGCACGUUUUAAGCAUGCAAGUCGAAUGGCAGUGGGGGCAACUCCAUGAGAAUGGCGAACGGGUGAGUAACACGUAGGUGAUCUGCCUGACGGAUGGGGAUAGCUUGUGGAAACACAGGGUAAUACCGAAUGAGCUGACGAGACUUUGGUUUUGUUAGUAAAGGUGCUACGGCACCGCCGACAGAGGAGCCUGCGGCUGAUUAGCUAGUUGGUGGGGUAAAGGCCUACCAAGGCGACGAUCAGUAGCCGGCCUGAGAGGGGGUACGGCCACACGGGAACUGAGACACGGUCCAGACUCCUACGGGAGGCAGCAGCUAAGAAUCUUCCGCAAUGGGCGAAAGCCUGACGGAGCGAUGCCGCGUGAUCGAUGAAGGUCGAGAGAUUGUAAAGAUCUUUUCUACAUGAGGAACAAGUCUGGGAGGGAAUGCCUGGAUGAUGACGUUAGUGUAGGAAUAAGCCCCGGCUAAUUACGUGCCAGCCGCCGCCGUAA
rnacentral:rRNA from 1 species